AAAAAAAAAAGGUCCCAAAGAACAACCACUGCAGAUAGUUAUAUAUAUGCACGUACAAUUACAGAUAGAGGCGCUGCAUAAGUAACUGUGAUCAUUCCAACACAUAAAAGUCCUACAAAGGUGAGCCGCAGGUGUCCGUGCAUCGCUAGAAGAGUUGCUAUUAUCAUCGUCCGAAGAAAUACAACAUUACGCCACCAGCUUCGCCGUCUUCACCUGAAUAAAUUAACACCACCACUUCUUAGAAAGAGAGCGACAUAGAUGAACUGGAAAGCAGCUCAAGUUCCAUUCACAGUCACCGCAAGCAAACCGUCUGGCUACAAAAGUCCAUAGAAAGUCCACAAACUUGUUCCCAGUAAUUGAGUAAUGUAGGGAACCGCUGUGUAAUUCUCCAGCGAUUUUUUUCUUCACGACCCUCCAAAAGGUCUUUCUGCAAACAGAAUCAUGAAGCGCAU
rnacentral:misc_RNA from 1 species